rnacentral:rRNA from 1 species
CAGUAGCCGCGGGAAUACGAAGGGGGCUAGCGUUGCUCGGAAUCACUGGGCGUAAAGGGUGCGUAGGCGGGUCUUUAAGUCAGAGGUGAAAUCCUGGAGCUCAACUCCAGAACUGCCUUUGAUACUGAGGAUCUUGAGUUCGGGGGAGGUGAGUGGAACUGCGAGUGUAGAGGUGAAAUUCGUAGAUAUUCGCAAGAACACCAGUGGCGAAGGCGGCUCACUGGCCCGAUACUGACGCUGAGGCACGAAAGCGUGGGGAGCAAACAGGAUUAGAGACCCCUGUAGUCCCUGUCUCUUAUAC